CGCCUCGUAGCUCAGUUGGCUAGAGCGUUGGCUGACCUAGAGCCUUCCCCUUGCUGGCGUGGGUUCGAGUCCCCCCGAGGCCA
rnacentral:tRNA from 1 species